UACGAAGGGGGCUAGCGUUGCUCGGAAUGACUGGGCGUAAAGGGCGCGUAGGCGGUUUGUACAGUCAGGUGUGAAAUUCCCGGGCUCAACCUGGGGGCUGCACUUGAUACGUAUGGACUGGAGUGGGGAAGAGGGUCGUGGAAUUCCCAGUGUAGAGGUGAAAUUCGUAGAUAUUCGGAAGAACACCAGUGGCGAAGGCGACUUACUGGACACAUACUGACGCUGAGGUGCGAAAGCGUGGGGAGCAAACAGG
rnacentral:rRNA from 1 species